AUUGCUUCUGCCACAGGAAGGUUAACCUGGGACUGAGUUUCUCUCCCUGAGCUGUCAGAGGCCCAUCUGGAACCUGCUUCCAUAACUCCGUCCAGGGUUCUAGGACUGCUCUCUACCUUCUUCCAUCCCGGGAUGGCCAGUAAUAAGACCAGCACUGCACCAGAGCCUCACCUGUCCUCCAGAUGGCGCCCCCCUGGCUGACUCCUUUAUCCUUCAGCUGCACCCAAAGGAACUCAAAGUCAUCCCGUCUGCCCGUGCCCACCUGUCACCUGAAUAUCCCUCCAGUAAGAAGGAAAAGGCCCUCUUAGGAUGGCUUCUACCCACAAAUACCUUUCCCGUCGGUCAGCAACCAUCCUAAAGUCUGAAUAGCCCAUCUGUCUCACUGCUGUGGGUUUAAAAACGAAGCAGGACACAUCAAGUUUGUGCUGAUACCUUUCCCAGUAUCCCACCGACCACGGGGUUACAACCCUGGACCAGGGGGGUAUGUCUGUCCACUCCUUUGCCUUUGCUCAUUCUGAUCCACCUAGUACAGUCCUCGUCCCUAAAGAUUCAGUUCAAAUAUUACGCGAACAGAAAGCCAUCCAUGUUCGGGAUUGCCUAAUCUAUAGGGCCAAAGGAAGGUGCAGUAGCCUUGGCGCCAGACUGCCAGAACGAGAUCCCGAUGGGCUGGGACAGGGUCCGUCAUAGGUUAGGAACAAGAGAGCUGCUAACUUGCUCGGGUGGCCCGUCUGCGACCGGGGAUGGAAGGAUGGAGGGACGUAGGUUUGUCCGCAAGCGACAGACAGUGUCGCGCUGCACGACAGGCAGCAUGGCCACCCCAAGCCCAGACCUGGAGCUCAGCCCAGCCGUGCGCACCUCCGCCCCUGCCUCCGCCGCCCCGGCCUCCGCUCUGUCUGGUCCCGCGCCUGCUUCUCCGGGGCCGCGGGGCUCCGCUGCCUUGCAGCUCCCCGGGUCAGCACCGACGAGGUCUCCAUGACUGUCAGCGACUACCGACCGCUAAGCCCUCCAGACACUGCUCCAACAGCCAAUCGCAAGCCUGGGCCUGCCCCUGCCGCAGCUCUCAGCCAAUGGUGAGUGUGCAGCGCCGCGGUUGGCUCGCACCGAGUUCCGGCUAGGAUCUGUCCACUUUCUGCAAGCGGCGGGUGUAGAGCCUGAGUUAAAUAACCGGAGAGACGGGGCGGGACCUGAUGGGCGGGGUCUAGGAGAAAGGCGGGGCUGCGUGGAUCCUGAGCCCAAGGUUCUGAGACCCAAAAAAGUGUUAUUUAGAGUUAGCCACGAAGUUCUCUUUCCAGACAAAUGAAACAAUCUGCCAGCGACAACCAAGUCGGUACACGUUAGCAAUGAGCCCUGGAACUGGGCCAUAGAGACUGGUGGCCUAGCUUCCCUGGGUCCCUGGAUCCUUGGAUCCCUGGAUUCCUGGAUGGGAUCUAAUUCCCAUCUCUAAUUGCUAGGAUUACAGGCACCUGUAAUAUUCUGCUUUUUUUAAAAAAUUAAAAUAUAAUUACAUGUU
ensembl:processed_transcript predicted gene 11748